AGUGGGUGUACAUGUAGAAGAAUUUCUUAAGGAAUCCAACUGAUUUUUUCAAUUCUAUAUGACAGCAGAAACAAAUGUAUGGUGAGCCUAUUCUUUCUUUGAAUAUUCUGAAAUAAUUUUCUAUAAGCUUUCUUCUCUUCUAUUUAAUAUCACAAUUCUAUCAUUUCGUUUACCUUCUACAUGGGUUUUUUUCAGGAAUAAUCCAUACAAAAUGUGUUUUAUAAUUAUUAUUGAUGUCAAAAUAUCAAAAUAAGUUCUCAAGUAAAAUAUACAGAUCUAUAUCACUAUGCACAUACAGGUUAACUUAAACAGGUUUACAUCAUAUACCUGCACAGUUCAUGACUGAUUAAACAAAAGUCUAAAUGUAGUACAGAAAAAAAACAAUAAGAGACUGACAUUUACUGAAGGAGUAAAUAUUUUACAAACUAGUAACAUAUACAUUUAUACAGCAACUUACAGUUGGGAACACAUGCUCAAUUUUACAAAUAAAUAACAUGCAUUUGUAGGUUUUUAAAAAGUAAACACAAAUAAUAGAUCUAUAUAAUAAUCAUCAUUUAUAAUUCAGUGUUUUAUUUCAGUCAAUUUUUUGGUAUAAACAGUAAUGUAUUUUUGUAACCUGGAUGGAAUUCUUUCUGUGAUUUCUGGUUGCAUGAUGAAUGAAUCAUGACUCCAAAUGUUUUUAGAGGGAGACUACUCAAAUUUAUUCUUCAUGAAUAAUUUAUUUUUGGAUGUCACACGUCUUCUGAUUGGCUGAUGUUGUUAAGUUUAUCAGCUCAUAGACCUAUUUUUUUCGUGUGACCAUGACGUCAUCAACAAUUUUUCAUGAUUUACGCAAGUUUAAAAUGGAAUUAAGAAUUAAAUUAUAAGAAAUGACUGUAAUAUUUUUUCUGUCUAUUCAAAAUAACAUAAAAAAUGUGGUGCACACUUACAAAUAACCUGCUACAAGGGUUAUUCAGUGUGAACCACAUUUUUUAUGUUAUUUCUUCAUAGACAGAAAAAAUAUUACAGUCAUUCCUAAACUGUUUUUUACUGAAAUAGUAAAUUCCUUAAUGUACAUGUACUUGGGGC
rnacentral:lncRNA from 1 species